CGGGGCUCCUCGGAGACGCAAAAAAGUCGAGAGAAAAGGAUGACACAUUCGCACGCCACAGACCACCAAAGAGAGACGGCUCCGCUGAGCAGCUGUCUUGAACGGCAGGGCAGCUGUGCGUCGGGUUUUCCCCCCUCUAAGCGGGGGUGUGCGUUUGGAGUCAGAGCUAUUGACGCUGCCAUUGUCAUCCGUCGCGCGUCUUUCCUCUUUUCUUUCUGUGCCCGACUGUCCCUUCCCUGGUUGGCUCGUGAACUCUGUGUGGCGACGAAACCGGUAGGUCGCCUGGGAGUCCGCCCUAUAUCAGCUGGGACACAGACGAUCGAUUUCUCAGAUAUCUUUUCCCGGGGCUCCAGGCCGUGUGUCUCGCACUCGUGUCUCCUGUUGUGGCAAACUACGCUUUCUCGUCCGGAUUCUCUCGUUUCUCGCCUCCCCCGUGACCAUUCCUUUCCUGGCGUCUCGCCUGCCGCCUAACUUUUGCCUCGGUUCGUCCUCUCCUUUCCCGUCGUCCUCUCCUUUCCCGUUGUCCUCUCCUUUCCCGUUGUCUCGUCCUUCACCCCUGGGGUACGUUCUUCUCUCGUAUCUCUGCCUUUCCCGUUUUCCGCCCUCCCGUCUCGCGCGUAGUGAGGAGAACGCCGUGGAUCGUGCAUACAGCUGUCACGCAGCGGUCGUGCUUCCGAAACGCAUCUCAUGGCGACGAAUCGGUUUUGACAAACGGGAGGGAACGCACCUCUUUAUAGCCGCGAGGCUGGUUCUCCCUUCAAGCGGUAUUGUUCUUAGCCACAAGGCGACGCCUCGUGCCCGCGAAAACACCCAGGCCUUCGAAGAGUAGAACCUGAGAAGAAAUCCCGUGGCUGUUCCACCAUGCAGAGAAGAGAUCACGGUAGAGUCAAUCCUAACAUGAGAUCAGCAAAGACGAUACACCAAACGCAUAAGAUAUAGCUUUUUUAUGCCACAGCGGCGUCGCUCACUUCGAUACCUUUUUCUUCAUGUGUAGAUCCAUUCUCUCGGAACUCCUCCGCCAAAUAUCGACGCGUGGGGGGUGUUGAGUACUCUACUCACUGGUGUCUGUGUCUGAGUCAAGCGAGGAGGAAAGCGAUUUGGGCUCUCUCACCUUCUGCAUUCGCCCGUCUUGGACUGCUGAAUCACCCCGCUACCAGCUGUGCCAACGCUCCUGGCGGUCUCUUGGGCUACUGGAUCUUGCGGUCUUCAGACGUUGAGAGCGUUUUUUUGCAUAGGUCUUCUCGUCUCUGAAGCUCCACGUUACCCCCAAUCUCCCAGACCUUUGAGAACCAGUGUAGAAUGACCCUCGUGUCAAGCACAGUCGAAAAAGGUGGUGUUAAUGAACCGCGAUGGGCUGUCCUGGGUUGUGGCGCCACAGGGAGAUCACGAGCCGCUUAACUGUCAAUUUCUUUCGUGUGGUCAUCGGGUCUGUGCUUGCCGUGCAUACGCGUUCACAAGCUGCAACACACGGCCGCACCUUUUUGCACACCGUUUCGGAAAGCCCCGCUACGAAGGACGAAAGAUCGUGCUGUGCACACGUCAAUACGCCUUUGGCCGUUCCAUCACCCUCGAAACCCUCGAAAGCAUGACCUUGUGUUUCGGACACUCUAGCUAUACAGCCCGCGUGUCCACAAACGUCCUCCAAUAGAGUCGCUGUACCACAGCAACCGGAAGCUCCGCGUGAAAAAACAGCGUCUUUUUGUGGAUAUUACAUCAGGACACUGCACCCGAAUCCGCGUGGAGUCAAGGCACUUCCACACCGAUCCACACGCCUCGUCUGAAGGAGGGUCCGUCAGGCAGAAACAGGGGCCGUGCUCGCCAAGAUUGCUGCCUCAGGUCGUACAUGCAACUCUCGCCCAUCGAAUCCUUUCGGACACCACUACUGCUCCCUAACUCUCUCCCAUCGAAUCCUUUCGGACAACACUACUGCUACCUAGUGUAGCUGUGAGGCAUUGAAAGAAUUGUCGUACAACCCCGCAUAGUCCAGAGCGGGAACCUCCAUACUGCCGCAGCCCCGUGUCGGCGCCGGCGUCUGUUGAUUAAGGUCCGGUCAUUAAGCAAAAAGAGAACGUAGACAGCGGAAGGGUGACUGGGAACAAAGUUGGAUGUGCGAUAUGGGUGCUACGCUGGCAAGGGAAACUGUACUCUUGAGAACACCGAGAGAAGGAGCAUCGUCACUACGUGGUCAGUUGUCCUGACGUCCGAGAGAGCGGGGACGAGUGUUUUCUUCCAUCGUGAGGCUGGCGCGGAAGGGCAAAUUGAUCCACGACUUCCCACGACUCACUUGCUUCAAUCUCUCUCCUCGGAAGCGGCUUCGUCCCAAUAGUGCGCGUUCGAACUGAUGAACAUGUGAACCGGUGAAGGCCCACACGGCGUAACCUGCCGCCGUGAAAAGCGGUUUAAUCAAUCCCAUUUAGGGACACCGGACCCGGAAAUGAAGACUGCCACAAGUGGCAGAUUAUGCCAUGAGAGGUUCGUAGUCUUGAGAAGGGCAAUGCGCGUAUCCCAUCACAACGCCCAUUGCAAUGAUGGGAUCGCGGUGAUGAGUAUAUCCAAGGCAGGUCACUCACCUGGAUCCUGUCAUGACCAUAAGCAGUCUUCUGUGUCUACAUGCUGCCAAUUCCUUUCAGUGGAACGCUUCCAGAAUACCUCACUAAACCCAUCGGGCUUCGUCCGAUAAGACCACGUUUGCAAGAAAGAAGAAAUUGCUCAUCGGCACAUGCCACAUCAUGGAUUCUGUGGCGCAGCGCUUCGCUCUACCAGCUCAUCCAAAACAGUAGUUCCCGACGCGCUUGGGUUGCGGAGACAACCCCGCUGCGUCUCCGUGUUCAGAUUGUCAGAUCUCACUGCUGCACCACGAUCGAUGCUCUCAUACAUGGAAGAGCUCUAACGAUUAGGCAAUCUCCUGAUUGCAGACCUGAUGUUACUAAGCUACAUGCAUCCUGGAAGUAACGUAUAACAGGAGCCCGUUAAGUAUUGCGCUUUCAUCUUCGAACCGAAUUGAGGAAAAAGUCUGGUUGUAACCGGUUAAAGUGACACAAGUGAAACAUUCUACCUCAAAUCCUUCGUCACACAGGCCCAUAACCCAUAUCACUCAGCAGGCAGCUCCCGGGUCCAGUUUAAGUUUCGCAAGUCAGAAAAAAGUCGCCAACACAGAGCGCCAGAAGCCCCGCCAGCAAAAGAACAUGCGUUACGUCGUCGAUUCGCUUCUGUAGACAUUCUUAGAGUUCAAGAAAAUACAUUUGGCACACUUCACUGUCCAUUGGCCUCGAGACACUCAAAGAACAAGGGGAAGUGUUACGCAAAGACUCUGAGAACCGUUAACCAGUGCGUCCCAUAAAUUGCCGCAGUCACUCAACUUCGGAGGACUCGGCUGACUGGGUUACAAGGGAACUUUCAGGAAUCGCCUGUUGCGCUGGGUUACUGGGGCUGCGUCCUACUUGAAAAUUCAGUGUCCUCGACAGCCUCUCGUCGGCCCCUGCGGAACGGGUUUCGUGUGAAUCUUCUCUUGACCCAGCCGACACCAGACAUCAACCCUCUUCCGACGCGACGCGCACCACGUUUGGCUUUCCCCCAGAGUCCUUUCAAACCUCUUCCGAGCGCUCUAGCUCGUGUUUUUGCGGUUCCUGCCGCCCGUCUCAAAAGGUUCGGACGAGGUGGCGGAAGUGGAGACCCUUGGUUUGCUUGGGACUUGAAGAUGAUGGGUUCUUGUUCUCCAAGAGGUUGGUCUUGGGUGCCGAUGGGUUCUUGUUCUCCAGGAGGUUGGUCUUCGGUGCCGAUGGGUUCUUGUUCUUCAAGACGGUCUUGGGUGUCGCUGAGUUGUUCUUGAUCAGGUUGCGAGUAGGCGCCGGUGCCUGUUCCGACCUUCAGCAGGGGAUGCUGGAUGCCCGGCGCAUGGUUAGAAACGUUAGAAGGCCAUAUAUCAUCGCUCAAUGUAUUCUCAUGCCUGCGCCGCGCAAAAAUCGCCGGCCGCACAAAAAGUUGGUGCCGCGGAUAUCCGUAGUCAUCCGUUUCCGCUUGGUGUUUCGUGACAGGUUCCCCUUCACCGCCGUAAUUCUCAAGCGUAACAGGCUCAGAUUGUUUCUCACCCGAGUCCUCGUUCAGGCCGCUGGACGCUGAUGCAUAAACGGAGUCACCGUCUUUGCCUUCCUCUGUCAAAAUCUGCUGGUCUUCUACCGGACUGCCACUCACAUCUCCUGGCGAACGGACAGCGGCACCUUCCCGCCUGUCGUCAGCCUCAGCAAAGCUCAGCGGCCCAUCAUAACGGUCGUUGGAACCGAUGUCGUCGGAGUUCAAGAACGGUUCUAUCGGCUCCAGAAAGCUGCCGCUUCUGGCUCUGAGUUGCGGCUGCCUCUUUCCAGAACGAGCGAAUCGCGCAUAAGAUAGGGAUGCAGUAGGGCCUCCAUGCUCGUUGGAUACAGCGACAGUCGGGUCCGAACUGCAGAUAAAUGAGAGAACAGUUAGAAUCAAC
rnacentral:lncRNA from 1 species